GAGUAACGCGUAGGUAAUCUACCUUUAUGAUCGGGAUAACAUUGGGAAACUGGUGCUAAUACCGGAUACCCUUCCUGGCUUUGGGGUCAGGGAGGAAAGGUGGCCUCUUCAUGAAAGCUACCGCAUAGAGGUGAGCCUGCGUACCAUUAGCUAGUAGGCGGGGUAACGGCCCACCUAGGCGACGAUGGUUAGCGGGUCUGAGAGGAUGAUCCGCCACACUGGAACUGGAACACGGACCAG
rnacentral:rRNA from 1 species